UUCCUCCCUCUCUUUGUGUGGCUGCAUGUUUGAGGGGCUAAACAGCGCCACCUCCAGGUCGGAAAAGUAGUGAUUCCAAGCAGAUUAAACACAUACAAGACACUUUAUAGCAAUCUCAAGAAUCAAAAGACACAUUUCCUGGUCAUUCGGAGGCUUCUGCUGCAAGAAGUAUUUGAAGAUUUGACACACAUCAAUCUGUCUUGGUGGCAUCGGCAAUACAGCGGCGUUCUAAAUACGAAGACAAAUCUGGGGCAAAACACACCUACACAUGCUUUAACACCAACAGAUGAGUCAUAGUGAUGAUGAAAAUUUGAUAGCCUGCCUGACGCUCUCGAUCCACGCUAUCCGUCUUUCAGGAUAAGAUCUCCCAGCCUCUGCUGAUAAAUAGUGACAGAAUGGCAGUUACAUGUGAGCGAGUUGAAACUUGACGAACGGUGAGGUUAGCGCUCCAAACACAGAACAAUCAAUUUAACCACAGAAGAACUAAUAGGUACAUAUUUGAAUCACACCCAGAAUAAAUCACAGCCAAAGGCAGAAAAACAGAAGAACAUUCCUGUUAGUAUUCAAAGAAAA